rnacentral:pre_miRNA from 1 species
AUGUGACUAGCACUAUGGCAAGAUGUUGGCAUAGCUAUAAAAAUGUUAAACAUAGUGUGCUAAUGUCUAGCCUUGGCGCUAG